CCUACGGGAGACUGCAGUGGGGAAUAUUGCACAAUGGGGGAAACCCUGAUGCAGCGACGCCGCGUGAGUGAAGAAGUAAUUCGUUAUGUAAAGCUCUAUCAGCAGGGAAGAAAAUGACGGUACCUGAGUAAGAAGCCACUGCUAACUACGUGCCAGCAGCCGCCGUAAUACGUAGGGGGCAAGCGUUAUCCGGAUUUACUGGGGGGAACGGGAGCGUAGACGGCAGUGCAAGUCAGGAGUGAAAGGCGGGGGCUUAACCCCCGGACUGCACUGGAAACUGUACGGCUGGAGUGCAGGAGAGGUAAGUGGAAUUCCUAGUGUAGCGGUGAAAUGCGUAGAUAUGAGGAGGAACACCAGUGGCGAAGGCGGCUUACUGGACUGUAACUGACGUUGAGGCUCGAAAGCGUGGGGAGCAAACAGGAUUAGAUACCCGUGUAGUC
rnacentral:rRNA from 1 species